rnacentral:lncRNA from 1 species
UCAUAAACAAAUUAAAUGCGAAGAUAUAACACAAAAGUUCUACAUCAAAUAUAGAUACAGAGGAUAUAUAUGAAAAGAUAUUUAUUUUUACAGAUUUACGAACUAAAAAAAUAGAUUAGAGUAUUUUUAAGGUGGUUCUUAAUAAAUGUGGUACUAAAAAUAAUAUUUAAAGUAGUAUUGAUAGUAAAUAUAUGAUAAUAUUGUAAACGUAUGACAAUAUUGAUAAUAAAUAGUAAUAGUAAAUAUAUGAUAAUGUUUAUAAUAAAUGCUGAAUAAUGUUUAUAGUAAAUAUAUGAUAAUAUAAAUAAUAAAUAAUAACUUUUUUCUUUAUAUCUUUUUUUUUUUUGUUGCUACAUUGAAAAUGCGUUGAUUGUUUUAGAUAAAUUAGGCAUGUCUUAUCAAACCUUAAAUACUCCAGAUAUAUUUUUGAUCAAAUAUAAUUAUAAAGCUGGCAGGUUGAAUGCUUUAGAUAUAUUAGGCAUGUCUUAUGAAACCUUAAAUUUUUUAGAUAUAUUUUUUGUCAAAUUUAAUUAUAUAGCUGGUAGGAAGAUAUUCGCCAUACUAGUUAAUUACAAUGAGAAUAAUAAAAAUUCUGUAAUAAGUAAAUUAUAACAAUAAACUGGUUUUCACUUUAUUUGUUUAUAUUUUUGAUAUUGUAGAGUUGGAGCAGAAUAACUAAAAGAAUCUAAGAACUAUGGUGGAAAUUAUUUUCAAAACCUAUGGUGACUUUCACGGAACAUGAGAUUUUGUAACAAUUAAAAAUGGAUCGCAACAACGGUUUGUUUUUCAAACUUUUGCUUUUCAAUAUUUAUCUAUACAUUAAUCUUUUUUUUUUCUUUUUCUAAUUGUUUUCUUUUGUUUCUUUUAAACAAUUUAUAACAAAGUUUUAAACCAUCCAAAAUUUUAGCUAUUUGAGAAAAGAUGACAAUUUAUAAACAAAUUAAAUGCGAAGCUACAACACAAGAGUUCUACAUCAAAUAUAGAGGAUAUAUAUGAAAAGAUAUUUAUUUUUGCAAAUUUACGAACUAAAAAAAUAGAUUAGAGUAUUCUUAAGAUGGUUCUUAAUAAAUAUGGUACUAAAAGUGAUAUUUAAAGUAGUAUUGAUAGUAAAUAUAUGAUAAUAUUGUAAACGUAUGACAAUAUUGUUAGUAACUAGUAAAUAUUUGAUAAUGUUUAUAGUAAAUGAAUUAUAAUGUUUAUAGUAAAUAUAUGAUAAUAUAUAAUAAAUAAUAACUUUCCCUUUAAAUCUUUAUUUUUUUUUGUAGCUACAUUGAAAAUAGG